UACAGAGGUCCCAAGCGUUGUUCGGAUUCACUGGGCGUAAAGAGUGUGUAGGCGGUUCUCUAAGUUCCGUGUGAAAUCUCCCGGCUCAACUGGGGGGGUGCGCGGGAAACUGGAGGGCUCGAGUAUGGGAGAGGAAAGCGGAAUUCCUGGUGUAGCGGUGAAAUGCGUAGAUAUCAGGAGGAACACCUGCGGUGUAGACAGCUUUCUGGACCAUCACUGACGCUGAGACACGAAAGCGUGGGUAGCAAACAGG
rnacentral:rRNA from 1 species